AGAUGGCGGAGGAAGAGCAAAGGAAAAUCCCUUUGGUUUCAGAAAAUCUGAAAAAGAGGAAGGCUUAUCAAGCUCUCAAAGCCACCCAGGCAAAGCAGGCGCUUUUGGCAAGGAAGGAGCAAAGAAAAGGAAAAGGGCUCAAGUUUAAGCGAUUGGAAUUGUUCCUGUAUGAUUCCUGGCGGCAGAAACGUGACAGUGUGCGUCUUAGAAGACUAGAAGUGAAACCUCAUGCCUUGGAAUUGCCAGAUAAACAUUCCUUGGCCUUUGUUGUACGCAUCCACAGGAUUGAUGGGGUGAGUUCACUGGUGCAGAGGACCACUGCAAGACUUCACCUGAAGAAAAUUUUCAGUGGUGUCUUUGUCAAAGUCACCCCCCAGAGCCUAAAAAUGCUGCAUAUUGUAGAGCCCUAUGUGACCUGGGGAUUUCCAAAUCUGAAGUCCGUUCGGGAACUCAUCUUGAAACGUGGACAAGCCAGGGUCAAGAAUAAGACCAUUCCUCUGACAGACAACACAAUGAUUGAGGAGCACCUGGGGAAGUUUGGUGUCAUUUGCUUGGAAGACCUCAUUCAUGAAAUUGCCUUCCCGGGAAAGCAUUUCCAGGAGUUCUCAUGGUUCUUGCGCCCUUUCCAACUCUCAGUAGCCCGUCAUGCUACCAAAAAUAGAGUAGGCUUUGUCAAGGAAAUGGGCUCACCUGGCUAUCGGGGUGAACGCAUCAAUCAGCUAAUCCGCCUGCUGAACUAGACCUAGAAUAUCUGAAAGCACAGUGCAUUGGAAGCAUGUGUUUUUGUUUUUUGGAAUUGUUAUCAAGUAUCUUCAGAGAAGAUUAUAUUUGGGAC